rfam:Picea glauca, whole genome shotgun sequence.
UUUUUAUAGCAUAGUGUUGAUGUACUAGAUUCCAAUAGAACUCUGCAGUUAAGCACACUCAAGCUAGAGUUGUAUUGAGAUGGGUGACUUCCUGGUAAGUCCUAUUGUUUUAUAUGC